rnacentral:lncRNA from 1 species
CGCUCCCGGCGCCGAGGGAGCACCCACCCCCUGCACGCGCCAUCGGCCGGGGUGACUAAUCCGCCGGCUGGCUCCCUGCGCCCCCUCCCCGGCUCAUUCGGCCCGCGGGGCGAGGGAAGGUGGCCGGACCCGGCGACACGCCCCUGCCCGCGACCGGCGGGGAAGCGCAGAUGCUGGCACCGAGGUGCCUCAGCCAGCCGCACCUCGGGUCCUGCGGGCAUCCCCUCCGGGCCGGGAGGUCAGGCCCCAGAGCCCGAGGCCCGCCUCACCACUGCCCUCCAGAACGGGGAAGACGAGGCCCAGAGAGGGCCAGGGACUUGUCCAAGCUCCACAGCGAGGGAGGCAGAGCCAGGGCACCGUGGUGAGGGCGUGCGAGGACAGACUGCAGGCUCCUGGAGGCGUCUGCGAGCUCAGUCUGCGCCCUGUGCAACCGCGCGUAAGUCCUCUGAAGUCCUCCCGGCCCUGCCCCUUCCUGGUAUCAGUACUCUCCCCUGCAAAGAACCUUUGCCCUUCCAGCCAUGGGGCGAGUCAGUAAUCCAUUCAGAACAGUUCCUGAGCCCGACAAGGGAGGCGCCAAGCAAGGUGGGGCACAGGAGGUGUAGAUUGCCCCUAAAAUGGGGUGUCGUCACGACCCCCAUAGGCCCCGGAGGACACGGGCUGCGUGUGGCCCGUGCGA